rnacentral:rRNA from 1 species
UACGUAGGGCGCAAGCGUUAUCCGGAAUUAUUGGGCGUAAAGAGCUCGUAGGCGGUUUGUCGCGUCUGCCGUGAAAGUCCGGGGCUCAACUCCGGAUCUGCGGUGGGUACGGGCAGACUAGAGUGCAGUAGGGGAGACUGGAAUUCCUGGUGUAGCGGUGAAAUGCGCAGAUAUCAGGAGGAACACCAGUGGCGGAAGGCGGCUCUCGUGGGU